GGGGGUGUAGCUCAGUGGUUAGAGCAGUCGGCUCAUAACCGAUUGGUCACAGGUUCAAAUCCUGUCACCCCCACCA
rnacentral:tRNA from 2 species